rnacentral:pre_miRNA from 1 species
UCUUACGAAUGAGCAAAGAAAGUGGUUUCUUGAGAUGGAAACUACUCCUGGUGCGGAUGCUGGGAA